CGUGGUGAAAUUGGUAGACACACGGGACUUAAAAUCCCGAGACCGCAAGGUCGUGCCGGUUCAAGUCCGGCCGCGAGCA
rnacentral:tRNA from 1 species